rnacentral:rRNA from 1 species
AGAGUUUGAUCUUGGCUCAGGAUGAACGCUAGCUACAGGCUUAACACAUGCAAGUCGAGGGGCAGCAUGGUCUUAGCUUGCUAAGACUGAUGGCGACCGGCGCACGGGUGAGUAACGCGUAUCCAACCUUCCCCUUAGUAGAGGAUAGCCCGGCGAAAGUCGGAUUAAUACUCUAUGUUCUCCUUUGAUGGCAUCAGAUGAGGAGCAAAGAUUCAUCGGUAAGGGAUGGGGAUGCGUCUGAUUAGCUUGCCGGCGGGGUAACGGCCCACCGGGGCAACGAUCAGUAGGGGUUCUGAGAGGAAGGUCCCCCACAUUGGUACUGAGACACGGACCAAACUCC